AUGUUGCAUAACAAAAAAGAAGGAUAUUCUUAUCAGAAAAUAGAAAAGUAUAGCUGUCAAGAUUACUCAUACGUAGGUGAGAGGCAACCACUUUCUUCAUCACCUUGCUCAAGAAGGGAAACUAAGAUAACGUUUGCCCAGGAUUAUAGGAUCCAAGCUGGAUUUUGUUUGUCCAAUAAGGAACUGAUUCCUAUUAUUUUUAAGGCAUUGUGAAUACAUCUUAUCUCAUGAAAGUGCUUACUGCUCCUGACUUCCAUAUAUGAAACCCAGUCAAAAGCUGGAAGAGCAAAGACCAAGAGAAGACGCUUCAAUCCUCCAGAAUCUCCCACACAUGCUCAAGUCAUACCCAAACUGGAAAGUAUCCAAAAGUAAGAGAUCGGAGGGUAUUCUGGGCACACUCACUGCUGGCUCUGUUAAACUGUGAUGUCCAAGUCAUACUGAAAAUGUGAUCUUCAAAUGCUGCACAAACCUGUUGCUGUGUGUUUUUUCAAAUGCCUCCUCAUGCUGUUGCUGCAAGCCACAGUAUAGUAUGUGAUAAUGCUGGCUAAUUCCUGAUAGUCUUGCUACUAUAUUCCACAAUAUCCUGUACUAACUGAAGAUUCUGAGCUCAAUAAGACUCUUACAUAAGAGCAUGGAAUGCCAGUUUGACACCAUCCAGCUAAGGUUAUACUUGUAAUACCAGUUCAAGUGACAGAAAGUGCCCUAUUAGUUUAAGGACAUUUGUACUUCAGUGCUAGAAAAGGAUUUUCAGGCACCCCAAAACUAUCUGUAGCGUUCAGCCCUGCCCUCACCUGUCCAUCACAGCUGAGCAGUGGAACAGCAGCCAAUGCGGGUACGGAAGGUGGUGCUAAAGGGGGAGGAGCUGGGAUAUAAAUAAGGUUGUAUGGUGUAUGAGGGGCAGACUGGAGAUUGUGUGAGAAGAGAGAUGAGAGAGAGUGUAGAGAUCUGAGUGAGAAGGCAGUGUGUUAAUGAGUCAGUGAGAGCAGGGUCUGUGUAUUAGAGAGUUCAGUGAUUGAAAGAAAUUGAUUAUCUACUUGUGAUUUACUUAUUUCUUUUAUGUAAUCAAAUAAACAAAUUUAAGUUUUAAAGUAAAUACA
rnacentral:lncRNA from 1 species